AUCGUCACUAAUCGAAGCUUGCACAAUUGGAGUUGUUUUGACUCAGAAUUAAAGCUUUGGGGAAAGUCUCCGACCUGAACGUAUGCGGAAAACGUAAUGAGAUUUAAAAAUUAUUUACAAUGUUUAAAUAGACUCAUUAGUCAAUUCAUUGUUUAUUCGAUGGAUUGAUUGUUGUCCCAUCUCCCUUGCGUGGGAUAGAUGGUGUUUCUUCGGUACUGGGAUCUCUUUUUUUAUAGAUCCUAAACCAUAGUUAUGACGAUUGCUCUUUGAUUUUUUUUCAUUGAGUAACCCAAUGGAGCU
rnacentral:RNase_MRP_RNA from 1 species